rnacentral:sRNA from 1 species
CGUAGGUGAACCUGCGGAGGGAUCAUUACAAGUGACCCCGGUCUAACCACCGGGAUGUUCAUAACCCUUUGUUGUCCGACUCUGUUGCCUCCGGGGCGACCCUGCCUUCGGGCGGGGGCUCCGGGUGGACACUUCAAACUCUUGCGUAACUUUGCAGUCUGAGUAAACUUAAUUAAUAAAUUAAAACUUUUAACAACGGAUCUCUUGGUUCUGGCAUCGAUGAAGAACGCAGCGAAAUGCGAUAAGUAAUGUGAAUUGCAGAAUUCAGUGAAUCAUCGAAUCUUUGAACGCACAUUGCGCCCCCUGGUAUUCCGGGGGGCAUGCCUGUUCGAGCGUCAUUUCACCACUCAAGCCUCGCUUGGUAUUGGGCAACGCGGUCCGCCGCGUGCCUCAAAUCGACCGGCUGGGUCUUCUGUCCCCUAAGCGUUGUGGAAACUAUUCGCUAAAGGGUGUUCGGGAGGCUACGCCGUAAAACAACCCCAUUUCUAAGGUUGACCUCGG